UACGGGGGGGGCAAGCGUUGUUCGGAAUUACUGGGCGUAAAGGGCGCGUAGGCGGCCUUCUAAGUCGAACGUGAAAUCCCCGGGCUCAACCCAGGAACUGCGUCCGAUACUGGAAGGCUUGAAUCCGGGAGAGGGAUGCGGAAUUCCAGGUGUAGCGGUGAAAUGCGUAGAUAUCUGGAGGAACACCGGUGGCGAAGGCGGCAUCCUGGACCGGUAUUGAUGCUGAGGCGCGAAAGCCAGGGGAGCAAACGGG
rnacentral:rRNA from 1 species